UACGGAGGAUGCGAGCGUUAUCCGGAUUUAUUGGGUUUAAAGGGUGCGCAGGCGGGGGAUUAAGUCGGCGGUGAAAUUUUGCAGCUCAACUGUAAAAGUGCCUUCGAAACUGGUUUCCUUGAGUGUAGAUGAAGUAGGCGGAAUUUGAGGUGUAGCGGUGAAAUGCAUAGAUAUCACGAGGAACUCCGAUUGCGCAGGCAGCUUACUAAACUACUACUGACGCUCAGGCACGAAGGCGUGGGGAUCAAACAGGAUUAGAUACCCGGGUAGU
rnacentral:rRNA from 1 species